CCUACGGGAGGCAGCAGUGAGGAAUAUUGGUCAAUGGGCGCGAGCCUGAACCAGCAAAGUAGCGUGAAUGAUGACUGCCCUACGGGUUGUAAACUUCUUUUAUAAAGGAAUAAAGAGCGGUACGUGUGCCUUUUUGUCUGUACUUUAUGAAUAAGGAUCGGCUAACUCCGUGCCAGCAGCCGCGGUAAUCCGGAGGAUCCGAGCGUUAUCCGGAUUUAUUGGGUUUAAAGGGAGCGUAGAUGGGUUGUUAAGUCAGUUGUGAAAGUUUGCGGCUCAACCGUAAAAUUGCAAUUGAUACUGGCAGUCUUGAGUACAGUUGAGGUAGGCGGAAUUCGUGGUGUAGCAGUGAAAUGCUUAGAUAUCACGAAGAACUCCGAUGGCGAAGGCAGCUUACUAAACUGCCACUGACAUUGAUGCUCGAAAGCGUGGGUAUCAAACAGGAUUAGAUACCCGAGUAGUC
rnacentral:rRNA from 1 species